GAGUGCACAGAGGUAGGUGUGGAAGAAAGUGAAACACUAUUUUAGGUUUUAGUUACACUGCUGUGGUGUGCUG
rnacentral:miRNA from 1 species